GAACCUAACAUCUCUGAAAGAAGCAAUUAACUCUGGACUCACAAGUCUCUCCAUUCAGUGACCAACAGUGACUCAGAACAUUCACCAUGGACUUGAGAUUGAGCUGUGUUUUUAUUGUUACUAUAUUAAAAGGUGUCCAGUGUGAGGUGAAGCUGGAGGAGUCUGGAGGAGGCUUGGUGCCACCUGGAGGGUCCAUAAAACUUUCUUGUGCUACCUCUGGAUUCUCUUUUACUGCUUACUGGAUGAAUUGGAUCCGCCAGUCUCCAGAGAAUGGGCUGGAGUGGGUUGCUCAAAUUAGAAACAAAGCUUAUAAUUAUGAAACCUAUUAUAUCGAUUCUGUGAGAGGCAGAUUCACCAUCUCAAGAGACGAUUCCAAAAGUAGUGUCUACCUGCAAAUGAACAGCUUAAGAGCUGAAGACACCAGCAUUUACUACUGUGCAAGGCACAGUGAUAAGCCUUCACUGUGAAGUUAGGUGAAAACU